AACAAGGAACGGGCACAACACGGCCGAGACAAUCUCCACGAACCCUGGCCAUGGUGAGGUUGAAGGAUUGCUGUUGUGGUCACCAGACACAUGAGUUGGCUGUGAUGAACAAGGGCAGAUCAAUCUAGUGGCUGAGGAGGGGAGCUAAAACUGUCGUGGACACAGGAACUACAACGCACACGCAACUACUUUGGCUAGAGGUUGAGGGUAGGGGAGGAGAACUUCACUAAAUUCAGCCCCAAGGCACUGAAUAUAGGGGCAGGUGUCCCUGCACAUGGCAACCAUGCUGUGGGGAGUGUUUCCCAGUGCGCCAGCACAACAGGGGCUUACAAACGUGGCUCUCAAGUAUCAAUUUCACACUGGUUCAUCUGCACAGUUGAGACACCGAACCUGGUCCAAUAGCACAGGUACAACACAAUUAUCUAAUUAUGUCCAGUUCUGAAGACAGUAACAAACAGAUAGGGAUUUCCCUUGUGGAUAGGCUCAAUGGUGAAAACUGAUAUUUUUCUGUAGAGGGGGUGACUGAAUCUCGAGCUCCAUAUUGUCCACCCCAAGUCUAUCCCAGUUUGUGCACAUAAGUGGAGGACAGCAGGGAGAGAAGAUAUUUGUUGCACUCACAACCGAUCCAUACUGCAGUCACUGCACCUGGUCUGGUUCACAGCACCAGUCAGAGACACUGAAUUUGGUCCCUUCCCCAAAGCCAAAAUAUCCAUUUUGUCUUCUACUGCAAACAAAAGAAACGCAGCUGGGAACAUCACUUGUGGCUAAGCACAAAGUGGUCCAAUACUUGAUAUUUCUGCUGGGAUAAGGUUACUAGAUCCUGUUUUAUUUUUCUUUGUCCAGGGCAAUAGAUAAUUGUGCACCUGUGAGCAGGCACAAAUUAAUCCAAAACUAGAUACUUUCAGUUGGGAGUGAGGCUUCUAGAUAUCAGGCAUCCAUUCCAUACACAUCUCAACUUAUAAACACAAACAAGGGCGAGCAGCAGGGGAUGAUCUUGUUCAGUUUCCAAACCAAACUCUAAACGUGACUGAAACAGCCCUACUGCACCAUCUGCACCUCCCUAUUGAAGCCUUGUUAUUGCACAAAUCACCAUGGCAACAAACCCACCCCUUUCAACCAAAAGAAUUCUCCAACUACAGCUCUAUUAGUUUGUUGCAGCAGUCCAAGACCAAAAAUGAAAGGAUCAAAAGUUACAGUGCCCCAAAGUACAGCCAAUGUCACUGAAAAUUCAGUUUCAGAAAUCUGAAACAGCAUCACACCGAGUCUGACAGAGGGUUUUGUCACUCCUUUUUCUCCAAAUUAUACACAGUAACAAGUCAACCCUUUGCAUAAAAAUUGUUCCCCUUUAUAUGGACUUUUACUUUACUACAGAACUCUUAACCAAAAUCUCCAUAGAUUAAUUAUCAUAGAGCUCCAAACUGGGCAACUUGCUACCAUUCAGGGUUCAGAACUGAAUUAAAAUUCAGUUAUUAACCAACCUGACAAUCCAAUCUUUGAGCAACUAUUUCUGCACUUUUUGUAUGGGAUCAGGUUCACCACUCUAUAAGAAAGUUGUUCCACUUAUAUGGUCUUCACUUAUUCUACAAACACCACAGCACAAAACCUUAUAGAAUAGCCACAAAAGGGCUCCAAACUUGGCACCAUACAGAAAUUUUCAGAUUUCAGAACUGAACCAAAUGCAGUUAACGUACUAUCUGUCAGUCCAACCUUGAGCAAGCUUUCUCUCCAAUUUUUGUGUAGGAUCAAACCAAAGUUACUUAAGGAGACUUAUUCACCAUCAUAUGGUCUUUAAUUUCUCUAUAUAUUCUACAGCCCAACACCCUAUGUAUUAGGCACAAAUGAGUUUCAAAAUCAGCCAAAACACUGCAAUUUCAGACUUAGUGUACUGUUCUGAAUCUGAAAAUGCAAAGAUCUGUUAACCCCUCUUUGGACUACCUUUUCUGCUAGUAGCAUAUAGUUUUAGGGCUAUCACACUUAAUAAGGAUUGUUCUCCAACAGUUACUCUAAAAGUUUUAUACAGUGAGCCAUAGCCAAAUACUCCUGGAUUCCAAACUACAAAGGUCCAAAGUUUGACCAAAUUACUGAAAUUCAGAAUCUGAAUUUCACUGAGUCUGAAAUCUACAAAAUCUGACAGCUUUACUUUAGACCGGUUUUAUCCCAAGUUCCAAAUCGUUUUAGAGCUAGAUGACUUAACCAAACUUAUACUCCUCAUGUAUCUCUAUAACUUUGUUAUAAUGAUCAUCUUAAAACUGUUUAUAGAUCAAAUGUUAUGAAGGCCUAAAAAUAGCUAGUUGAUAUUAUUUUCAGCAAACUUCAAAUCUGAUUCAAAACUGAAUUAAACUUUUUAGUCCAACUUUUCCUCUAAAACUUGGAAUUCUCCAUACAUGAAAGUUGUUCAACUUCCCAAAAUCUACAACUUUGAUAUAUGGACCACUAGCAAAUUCUCUCUAGAUUUAAAACUCCACUUUUGGGCUAGUUGAGGGUUUCAAAUGUGACUUCUCAUCUAGUGAUUUAUCAACUCAAUCCAUACUCCUAAAAGACGAGUGACUCCUUAAUCUCAAAUCCAACUCUAGUAUAUGAAGCUCAUGUUCAAAGUGUCCCUAGUUUAGGAGUUGUUUUGUUUAUCCACAGUUCCAAGCAAGGUUUUCAAAUCUCACUUAAGGUUUUUAAGGUUAAUCCAGUUUCGCAAUUAAUUCUUCCACCUUUGAAAGCAAAGUUGUUCUAGGUCCUAAGUCUUACCUUUAAUACAUUAAAUUCCAAGCCAACUUAUUACUUGCUCAAGAGACGACUUCACUUCCGAUCUCUUAAGCAAAGUUCUUAAUCUGAGCCCUAUACUCUUAUACACAACACCACAUUCAUUGAAUUUUUUUUGACCUAGUGAAUGCAUUCUAGGUGCAUCAAGCAGUUAAUGCAAGUGCAGAUGAUGACAUGACAAGGUUUUAAUUAUCGUAACACCAGGGGUGUUACAGCCUUCCCCCCUAAAAAGAAAUCUCGUCCCAAGAUUUAAAACUCUAGGCUAGAUAAUGGAAAAGGAAAUGUGUCACUGGCUUAUUUCCCCAUUACUCCUACAAAGCAGGGGUGUGCCCCUAUUGGUUCAAACCAAAGACAAACUACACAAAACCUAGGACUUACAAGAACCUAGGAACUCAAGCACAUGUUCUUCCAAAUACUCCUUCGAUUCCCAUGUGGCUUCAUCUUUCGUGUGUAUUGGUUCCACUUUAUCUCGUAAAACUCGAUAACUCAUCUUUGAGUGUCCUGAUCCUUUUGAUCUAACACCUUUAUGGGAUAUUGCGAGGAGGUUAAACCUGGUUUAUGGCUAACAUCUGAAAUCUCAAUAACAUAUUUGGGGACUCGAAGACAUUUCUUUAACGGAGACACGUGGAACAUGUUGGGCACUAUUGGAAGAUCUUCUGACAAUUGUUCCUUAUAAGCCACAGGUUCACCAAAACCUUUGUUUCGAAGCUUGGUAGUCUUCAUGAACAGGAAAUGGUAGCAUAGAAAGGCAAAGACAGAUAGCAGGAAUAGGGUGGACGAAACAUGUACUAAUACUGCUACAUAGGGGGCUUAAUUUAAAAUUGUAUGUCAUGAUGCAUGCUCGACCGAUUCGUCCUCACAAUUCUUGCCAACAUAUAGUGGCGUUCAUGCUCUAUGGCGGUGGCAUACCUACACUCCGUCAUUGAAUACUAGUCGCACUUUUCUAGGGUUUAGUUAGUGUACCUGCAGAAAAUUGCAUUAUAGUUGUGGGUUAGUGGUUAGCAUCCUAAACUAAGCCACCUUAUAGUCCUUAACUUAACCAUAUACUAUUUGCACUUCGACUAUCAGGAUUUGCUCAUAUUCUUAAAUUUUUCCAAAAUAGUUUGGACUCAAAAUCCUUUUGAAAUAUAUCAAAGGAUUACUUUAAUAUCCAUGAUAAUGGGGGAUCGCUCCGAUACCAAUCUGUGGCAGCCCUCCCAAGUUAUCGGGCCCACUUGCACCAAUUCUUGCCUUGAUGGCCUCAGAUGGCUAUGCACGUGUACCAGGUAACUUAACAAGGCUAUCACGAGUUCAACAACUUGAACUCACCAUCCCAAGGAUCUCCCACCAUACAUGCAUAUUACAGUAAUCACAUUCGAUACACACACUUCGGAGAUAAAGAGCGGAAGACUUUACAAACAUUCUUUACCUUUUCAAAACUCAAGUUUUACAUGUUUUGAAAGAAUAAUAUUUAUUACAAGUACUGAUAUACUCAAAGUGCAUAACUUAUUACAAAAGCAGGAAGGUAGAAACCCUCCAAAGCUUACACAUAAACCUAGCUAGUCCUCCUCCAGAACUAGAAACGCUCUCCAGCCUCAGGAACAUCUAGAGUACUCCUCAUCACCUACAACAACAUGGGUUCGAAAACCCUGAGUACGGAGUGUACUUUCGCAAGUCUUACCCGACUAAGGAAAAAUGACUCUCAAGGAUAUGCUGGUUAAGUAGGAAUCAAGGAAAAGGCUUUAGCAAGAAUCAACUUAGAUACUUUUGCAGAAAUAGCUUACUAAAGUGAGUCCUUACUUUCAAUAUUUUAAUGCCAUAUUAAAUAUUAAUAGACUCUGGUAGCAUCUAGUCUAAUUUCACCAUCUCAUCAAACAACAUCAUUUUUAUUCAUAAUGUUUACAUCCUGACUUAGGUUGCAAGGCAGCGAUCAAGUCUCCACUCUCCGGGGAUAUAAUGGCGAUCCGAAUCGAUUUACUCAGCUGAGGAUCUCUAACCACACGACAUAUGUAGCGCUUAACCCUUGCAUAUGUCUACCGUUCCCACGGAUCCUCCACUGCAUGAACAGGUCCGCGCCACCCGAGAGAGCACCACCCCUUUUAGGCGGUCCUUUGCCAGGAGGGUACGUGCCACUCUCGCCAUCUCUCCACUCCCAGUGCGCGAUUGUCUUUUCAUGUAUGGAAUAGCCAGGUUCAAGCUUACCCUGUCCCAUAUCCAGGGCAUGUGGCCAGUUAAGAUAGUCCUUGAUCAUACAGGCCUACAUACGCAUCCAAUCCUUAAUUAACCUAGGUAGAACAUCACUUGUUCCUAGCCCAAGUCUCGAUUUAAGUACUUCCAUCCUUAGGAUUGUUUGUGUUCCUUAGGAUGAAAAGAGCAUUAUAGGGAACUUUGCAGUAAGAUCCCACCAUGCUCCCAAUGAAAAUAUUCUUGCAGGUAGAAGCCGUCUUUCCUCAGGAUAACCCCUGAGCUAGGCCUCAAUGCAAAAGACAACCUCUAUCCACAAGAUCUGAGCAGGGCUAAGCAUUUUUGUAUAUCAUAUUUUGAUACUUCACCAGAAGUAUCUAUAAAGGUAUGGAUAUCAAGGUAGGCAAUGCAUCCAAUAAUUUCCAAGCAACUCCUAUAAACUUAAUGCUCAUUUCACUAGACUUAAAUGUAUAAAAGUCUUUUUAAAAAUACAAGGAAGGGGUAAAUGCACCGGGGCUUGCCUUUGUUGCAGAGACGGAGGUCUAAAUCCCUCUAUUAAACCCCAGUUAGAUGGCUCCCAUCACUUGAUGAGCAGGCACUGAAGCAGACUCCUCUUCAGAAACGACUUCUUGAAUUUUAUCAUCUUCUUCUGGGAAUUUCUACAUGUAAAGAUAUGAACAUAAAUGCUUAUGCUGAUGCAACUUGAAAAGAAAAUACUAAAAAGCAUCACAAGACUUACACCUCGCUAAAGGUGCACACAAAAACUAACAAAACCUUAAGAGAGCUAAAUACUCUAAUAUCACAACUCAAUUCACCAACCAAACUAGAAAACCUUGCCUCCAUAACCAACCAAGUACUUCAUUUAUGCCUUAAGCAAGGAUCCAACCUGCAUGAACUACAAGUUAUAGUGUCCAAGAAUCAGCCACAAUUCAUUGAACCUGCUUUCAGUUCUCUGAAAGCAUCUUCCAUUGCUCCAUUCCUCUCCCCUCUGUUCAAUGCCUUUUAUCUCAUAAACUCACAUGACAAGAGACCCCACUUACUUAACCAAAUCUAUUCCCUAAGUAUUGCUCUUCCACUUUGGUAUAACACUCCAAGACUGAAAAUACACAUUGCAAAUUCAGUUUUUAGGCAGCUGAAUGAAAUUCAGUCUCUGCAACUGAAAGUCCAUUUUUGGGCAGUAUUUACACCACUUUGUGUGUGGGAUCAAUCCCAACUCACCUAAAGGAUGUUGUUCUCUAACACAUGUUCUUCAAACUUGCUGUAGAAACUUUGGUUCAAAACCACCUAGAACAGGCACUACACAGCUCCAAAACUGCACUAAAAUUACUGAUUUCAGACUUUCAGUUCUGAAUAGACUAAGUCACCAACCACCUGACAGUCAAACUUUUGGCCACUUUUACUCCCAAAUUUAUGUGGAACCAGGUCCAUCUCACUUUAGCAAACUUGUUCACUUUACUAUGGUCUACAACUUUGCUAUGGAACCCUUAAUCCAAAACCCCAUGAAUCAGUCACAAUGAAUUUCAAACUAGGCAUCCUGCUGCAAUUCAGUUCUCAGAACUGAAUAAAAAUUCAGUUGUGUCCAUCCUGACAGACCAAAUUUAACCAACCUUUUCUCCAAUUUUUACACAGCAACAGACCAAACUCACAUUACCAAAGUUAUUCCUUAGAUAUAGCUCUAAUACUUUGGUGUAGUACCCCUAGGUUGAAAACAUUCACAACAAUUUUUAUGAAGCACCAAAGUGGAGCUCAACACACUAAAACCUAGUUUCAGCCUUAUGCACUAAGUCUGGGAUCCAGAAACCUGACAGCCUAUGUUUGAGCAAAUUUCACACCUAGUUCCAGGCAACCAAUAGUGGUAGAGUUCAAGCAGUAAAUGGUGUGAUCUUCACUGACCUGUGAGGAACAAGGAACGGGCACAACACGGCCGAGACAAUCUCCACGAACCCUGGCCAUGGUGAGGUUGAAGGAUUGCUGUUGUGGUCACCAGACACAUGAGUUGGCUGUGAUGAACAAGGGCAGAUCGAUCUAGUGGCUGAGGAGGGGAGCUAAAACUGUCGUGGACACAGGAACUACAACGCACACGCAACUACUUUGGCUAGAGGUUGAGGGUAGGGGAGGAGAACUUCACUAAAUUCAGCCCCAAGGCACUGAAUAUAGGGGCAGGUGUCCCUGCACAUGGCAACCAUGCUGUGGGGAGUGUUUCCCAGUGCGCCAGCACAACAGGGGCUUACAAACGUGGCUCUCAAGUAUCAAUUUCACACUGGUUCAUCUGCAC
rnacentral:lncRNA from 1 species